CCUACGGGAGGCAGCAGUGAGGAAUAUUGGUCAAUGGACGAGAGUCUGAACCAGCCGAGUAGCGUGAAGGAUGACUGCCCUAUGGGUUGUAAACUUCUUUUAUAAAGGAAUAAAACGAGGCACGUGUGCCUUUUUGCAUGUACUUUAUGAAUAAGGAUCGGCUAACUCCGUGCCAGCAGCCGCGGUAAUACGGAGGAUCCGAGCGUUCUCCGGAUUUAUUGGGUUUAAAGGGAGCGUAGAUGGGUUGUUAAGUCAGUUGUGAAAGUUUGCGGCUCAACCGUAAAAUUGCAAUUGAUACUGGCAGUCUUGAGUACAGUUGAGGUAGGCGGAAUGCGUGGUGUAGCGGUGAAAGGCUUAGAUAUCACGAAGAACCCCGAUUGCGAAGGCAGCUUACUAAACUGUGACUGACAUUGAUGCUCGAAAGUGUGGGUAUCAAACAGGAUUAGAUACCCUUGUAGUC
rnacentral:rRNA from 1 species